GAAGGUGCGGCGUGCUACACAUGCAGUCGAACGAUGAAGCCCAGCUUGCUGGGUGGAUUAGUGGCGAACGGGUGAGUAACACGUGAGCAACCUGCCCCUGACUCUGGGAUAAGCGCUGGAAACGGCGUCUAAUACUGGAUACGAACAAUAAUCGCAUGGUUACUUGUUGGAAAGAUUUUUUGGUUGGGGAUGGGCUCGCGGCCUAUCAGCUUGUUGGUGAGGUAAUGGCUCACCAAGGCGCUGACGGGUAGCCGGCCUGAGAGGGUGACCGGCCACACUGGGACUGAGACACGGCCCAGACUCCUACGGGAGGCAGCAGUGGGGAAUAUUGCACAAUGGGCGGAAGCCUGAUGCAGCAACGCCGCGUGAGGGAUGACGGCCUUCGGGUUGUAAACCUCUUUUAGCAGGGAAGAAGCGAGAGUGACGGUACCUGCAAAAAAGCGCCGGCUAACUACGUGCCAGCAGCCGCGGUAAUACGUAGGGCGCAAGCGUUAUCCGGAAUUAUUGGGCGUAAAGAGCUCGUAGGCGGUUUGUCGCGUCUGCUGUGAAAUCCCGAGGCUCAACCUCGGGCCUGCAGUGGGUACGGGCAGACUAGAGUGCGGUAGGGGAGAUUGGAAUUCCUGGUGUAGCGGUGGAAUGCGCAGAUAUCAGGAGGAACACCGAUGGCGAAGGCAGAUCUCUGGGCCGUAACUGACGCUGAGGAGCGAAAGGGUGGGGAGCAAACAGGCUUAGAUACCCUGGUAGUCCACCCCGUAAACGUUGGGAACUAGUUGUGGGGUCCAUUCCACGGAUUCCGUGACGCAGCUAACGCAUUAAGUUCCCCGCCUGGGGAGUACGGCCGCAAGGCUAAAACUCAAAGGAUGACGGGGACCCGCACAAGCGGCGGAGCAUGCGGAUUAAUUCGAUGCAACGCGAAGAACCUUACCAAGGCUUGACAUAUACGAGAACGGGCCAGAAAUGGUCAACUCUUUGGACACUCGUAAACAGGUGGUGCAUGGUUGUCGUCAGCUCGUGUCGUGAGAUGUUGGGUUAAGUCCCGCAACGAGCGCAACCCUCGUUCUAUGUUGCCAGCACGUAAUGGUGGGAACUCAUGGGAUACUGCCGGGGUCAACUCGGAGGAAGGUGGGGAUGACGUCAAAUCAUCAUGCCCCUUAUGUCUUGGGCUUCACGCAUGCUACAAUGGCCGGUACAAUGGGCAGCGAUACCGUGAGGUGGAGCGAAUCCCAAAAAGCCGGUCCCAGUUCGGAUUGAGGUCUGCAACUCGACCUCAUGAAGUCGGAGUCGCUAGUAAUCGCAGAUCAGCAACGCUGCGGUGAAUACGUUCCCGGGUCUUGUACACACCGCCCGUCAAGUCAUGAAAGUCGGUAACACCUGAAGCCGGUGGCCUAACCCUUGGGAGGGAGCUGUCGAACGGUGGAUCCGAAAU
rnacentral:rRNA from 1 species